rnacentral:rRNA from 1 species
AUUGAACGCUGGCGGCAGGCCUAACACAUGCAAGUCGAACGAGUGGCGGACGGGUGAGUAAUGUCGGGGAAACUGCCUGAUGUAGGGGGAUAACUACUGGAAACGGUAGCUAAUACCGCAUACCAUCAGAUGGGGCCAGAUGGGAUUAGCUAGCUGGUGGGGUAACGGCUCACAAAGGCGACGAGCCCUAGCUGGUCUGAGAGGAUGACCAGCCACACUGGAACUGAGACACGGUCCAGACUCCUACGGGAGGCAGCAGUGGGGAAUAUUGCACAAUGGGCGCAAGCCUGACACAGCCAUGCCGCGUGUAUGAAGAAGGCCUUCGGGUUGUAAAGUACUUUCAGCGGGGAGGCGUUACCCGCAGAAGAAGCACCGGCUAACUCCGUGCCAGCAGCCGCGGUAAUUC